UGACGCAUAUUCCAAUCUUUUAGAGAGAUUAGCAAACGGGCAUUUUUCAAAUUAGUAUGAGUCCUUGAAUUUGUUUACUACUCCACAAAAUAUGUACUUGUGUUCCGAUAUACACUACUAAAACAGCGCUCUCAUUUCGCAUCGCAACAUCGACUAUAACGCACGUUGUAAUCAGCGAGCCUUUUACCAUCAUGCGAAUGAAUACGGGUGCUUGCUAUCAGCACAUUCAGAUAAUGGCUCUUUACUCGACAUGAUCGACAAUACUGAUUGCUGGUUUAAUUAUACGAAUAUCCUAAGAGAGACUACGAGGACUAACAUUCGACAAGGUUUUCAAUCGUUAUAUAAGUCGAGAUUGCGUUUUUUAUAAUUACGGACUGCGGAAUAUUUUAGUGUAUGACUUCUCAAUUUACCCUACGCGUUCUUCGACUGCUUAUAUUAAGGAUAUAUUACGAAAUUUUAUGAUAUUAAGUUGUCAUGAGCAACUACGGUUAGAAUAUUAAUUAUGUUAGUUAUUGCGAUUGAUAAAGGUCGAGUAAGGCUGAAACCGGUAUCGCUGUUAUUAAUUUUUCUAUGAACAAAUAAAUUAUACAUCUUAAACAUU